rnacentral:snRNA from 1 species
GUGCUUGCUUUGGCAGCACAUAUACUAAAAUUGGAACGAUACAGAGAAGAUUAAUGCAUGGCCCCUGUGCAAGAAAGACAUGCAAAUUCAUGAAGCGCUCCAUAUUUUA